rnacentral:rRNA from 1 species
AGAGUUUGAUCCUGGCUCAGGACGAACGCUGGCGGCGCGCCUAACACAUGCAAGUCGAACGGAGCUUAGAGAGCUUGCUUUUUAAGCUUAGUGGCGAACGGGUGAGUAACGCGUGAGUAACCUGCCCUAGAGUGGGGGACAACAGUUGGAAACGACUGCUAAUACCGCAUAAGCCCACGGUACCGCAUGAUACUGAGGGAAAAGGAUUUAUUCGCUUUAGGAUGGACUCGCGUCCAAUUAGCUAGUUGGUGAGGUAACGGCCCACCAAGGCGACGAUUGGUAGCCGGACUGAGAGGUUGAACGGCCACAUUGGGACUGAGACACGGCCCAGACUCCUACGGGAGGCAGCAGUGGGGGAUAUUGCACAAUGGGGGAAACCCUGAUGCAGCGACGCCGCGUGGAGGAAGAAGGUCUUCGGAUUGUAAACUCCUGUUGUUGGGGAAGAUAAUGACGGUACCCAACAAGGAAGUGACGGCUAACUACGUGCCAGCAGCCGCGGUAAAACGUAGGUCACAAGCGUUGUCCGGAAUUACUGGGUGUAAAGGGAGCGCAGGCGGGAAGACAAGUUGGAAGUGAAAUCUAUGGGCUCAACCCAUAAACUGCUUUCAAAACUGUUUUUCUUGAGUAGUGCAGAGGUAGGCGGAAUUCCCGGUGUAGCGGUGGAAUGCGUAGAUAUCGGGAGGAACACCAGUGGCGAAGGCGGUCUACUGGGCACCAACUGACGCUGAGGCUCGAAAGCAUGGGUAGCAAACAGGAUUAGAUACCCUGGUAGUCCAUGCCGUAAACGAUGAUUACUAGGUGUUGGGGGAUUGACCCCCUCAGUGCCGCAGUUAACACAAUAAGUAAUCCACCUGGGGAGUACGACCGCAAGGUUGAAACUCAA